GCCCUGCAGGAUGGCCCCACUGCAGAUGCAAAUGGACUGGCCAGCGUUGCCGCCAGCUCAGCCGAGAGAAGUCCAGGUACCAGCAUGAACGGCCUGGAGGAGCCCAGCAUUGCCAAAAGGCUGAGGGGCACCCCCGAGAGGAUCGAGCUGGAGAACUACCGCCGAUCUGUGAGGCAGGUGGAGGAGCUGGAGGAGGUACCCGAGGAGACACAGGCCGAGCAUAACCUGAGCAGCGUCUUAGACAAAGGCACCGAAGAGGAUGUGGCCAGCAGCAGUUCUGAGUCGGAGAUGGAGGAGGAGGAAGAGGAAGAUGACGAAGAUGAUCAUCUCCCCACCUCUGACCUGGGCGGGGUUCCCUGGAAGGAGGCAGUCAGGAUCCAUGCCCUUCUGAAGGGAAGGAGUGAAGAGGAGCUGGAAGCCUCCAAGAACUUCGAGCCCGAGGAAGAAGAAGAGGAGGAGGAAUACGAAGAAGAGGAUGAAGAGUAUGAGGAGGAGGAAGAGGAGGAAUCCAGUGAAGUGACCGGCCUUCCCUCCGUACGCCGCGCAGCAGUGCAGGCCUGGUUGGAGACUGUCUCCGGAGCUCCUCUAGAUGAGGAUGACCUAGAAGAGGACGCGGACUCUGAGCCAGCAGAGACUGAAGGG
rnacentral:lncRNA from 1 species